rnacentral:misc_RNA from 1 species
UCAAACUUGGUCAUUUAGAGGAAGUAAAAGUCGUAACAAGGUUUCCGUAGGUGAACCUGCGGAAGGAUCAUUACAAUGACAAACAGAGGUCUCUCGCGGCCUCUCGCUAAUCCAGCCCCCCGGGGUGAAGAUGGCGUCAACCUCUUGUGAACCUUCUACCUUUGCUUCGGCAGCAGCCGCGUUUUGGCUUAACGGCCGGCACGCGGUUGUAAGGCUGUCAGAAGCCCACAACACAAAAACUAUUUAAACAAGAAAUCAUUGUGGUCUGACAUUACUAUGAAUUUUAUAAUCAUAUUAAAACUUUCAGCAACGGAUCUCUUGGUUCUCGCAUCGAUGAAGAACGCAGC